rnacentral:rRNA from 1 species
GAAAGAUGAAAAGAACUUUGAAAAGAGAGUAAAAUAGUACGUGAAAUUGUUGAAAGGGAAACGAUUGAAGUCAGUCGUACCGACGGAAAAUCAGCUCUUCGAGCGCGAACUUGUGGGCGUACGUGAGCUUUAACCGGCCUCGUUGUUUGCGAUGUUUGUGCUCUUUGGGUGUACUUUUUCGUAUGGUUGGCCAACGUCAGUCUCGGUUACCAUAAAAUGAUUGGAGGAAUGUAGCUUCGAUCUUGUAUUGAAGUGUUAUA